rnacentral:SRP_RNA from 1 species
GCUGGGCUUGGUAAUGCGAGCUUCUAACCCAAGUGGGAGCACUAAGAUGGUGGAAUAAUUAGGCUUGCCUGAAGGCUUGGGCUUGGGCUGCUAUCUUUUCUGGCAUGCUCAUUCCAAGUAGUUAGUUGGGCCGAGGAGUCUGAGCGAAAGCGUUGGCAUCUCGGUCCAUAGAACGACGGCACCGCGUGAGACUGAUUUCACAGAGAAACGAAAACCUCCACCUCUCUGCAGUGGAAGGAUAACCGGCCGGUGCAGUUCGGUCCAUUAGCGCCUGGCGGGCUGUCCAACUUGAACCAUCAUCUUU